UACAGAGACCCUGAGACCUGUGCCACUGU
rnacentral:piRNA from 1 species